UUAGUGACAUUUAGGAGAAGUAUUGCUGUACUAUAUGGUAUUGUUUGGUUCGGGAAUAAACAAAAAGUAGCUAUUCCAUGUAUAGGUAUAAAUUGAGGUAUAAGUAAGGAUUAGAUCAAUUUUGCAUGAAAAUUUGAUUAUUCCUGCGAAUAAAAAAAAUAGCGUUUAGUUAGGUAAGAUAGAAUAAGAAUUAAAGUGGAUAGUUAUAAAUAAAAAAUAAUAAUAUUAUUUUUUUUCUUUAUUUUAGAAUUUAAAAUUUUAUAUUUUACAAUUUAGAAUCUCAAAUUUACAAUUUUAUAAAUUUUAAACUUUAAAUUUAAGAUGAAAUUUAUUAUUAAUAAAUUUAUAAUUUUUUUUAAAAUUCUACUUAAACUGAAAUAUAAUAAAAAUAAUUUAUUAUAAUAUUUAAAUAUAAUUUACUAUAAAAUUUAUUAUAAUAUGUAAAUAUAAAUAAUAUGUAUUAAUAUAGUACAAUUAAUAAUUUUAUAAUAAAAAUAAUAUAUUAUAAUAUAUAACAUAUUAUAUUUAAAUAAUUUAAUUUUAAUUCAAUUUAUAAUUUUAAUUAAAUUAAAAAUUAAGCAUUGAAAUAUAACUAUUCCAUCAAAAUGGUAGAAUAGUAAAUCUCAACCUAUUUCGGAAUAACCGGAAAUAGUAAAGUUUGACCGACAUAAAAUAUUUUGGCAAAAUAUCAUUCCGUGUGACGGAAUAGCGGGGAUAACGAAAUCCUUGCUUAUCCCCCGAACCAAA
rnacentral:lncRNA from 1 species